AGUGACUGAAAUGCUCUGUAUGUAUCAGAUGCAAACGAAUCUCAAAACCUAACCCAUGAACAGUGACAGCCAUCAAAAUCCUCCAAGAGAUGCUCUAAGCUGGACAGACCACACACGUGAACAAAUAAUUAUGAUGCAGGCGUUGGGAGCUGUAACACAGAGAUAAACAGAGCAUGGUGAGAGCACGGGACAGAGAGCUGCCAAGUUGGACCAGAGACUGUGAGCUCCUCAAGAACAUGCGACCUUGUAAGAUUCAUCUCUUCAAUCCUCUACCCAGCGCUGGACAUGGAGCACAAUGAGCAUCAGUCUAUUAAUGCUGUGAGGCUGUGGUGGUGAUGUGUCUAUCGCUUGGGGGAAUGAAAGUGAAGCGUGCUGGAUGCUUACAAUGGAAUACCAUGCCACAGCAAGAAGGAGCAGGUUUUGCUUGAACCAGAAGAUUCAUUCAUUAAAAUAUUUGUGAGUGAAUAAAUAGAGAAGAGAUAUUAAUACUUCCUCAUAGGAGUUGUUGGGAAAAUUCAACGAGACACCGUCCCUGGCACAAGCAGACACUUAAUUAACGCUGAGUGCAUUUGAAAAGUUCACAGUGCUGUGCAAGUACAAGAUACUGUUACUUUCAAGACAAGGAGUCUUUCCAAAUUGUUCCGUUUACAAAUGUGUGUUUAGACACUCUGAGGAAAGAAGGCAAAGCCCCUUUUAAGAAUUGU
rnacentral:lncRNA from 1 species